rnacentral:rRNA from 1 species
CCCCUAGAUGUUCUGGGCCGCACGCACGCUACACUGAACAGUUCAACAAGUCUUAACCUUGGCCGAUAGGUCUGGGUAAUCUUUGAACGCUGUUCGUGAUUGGGAUAGACCUUUGCAAUUAUGGGUCUUCAACGAGGAAUUCCUAGUAAACGCAAGUCAUCAGCUUGCAUUGAUUACGUCCCUGCCCUUUGUACACACCGCCCGUCGCACCUACCGAUUGAAUGGUCCGGUGAAAUCUCGGGACGGCGGCUUGGUCGCUUGCGUCCGACUGCUGAAACUUGAUUAAACCAUAUCAUUUAGAGGAAGGUGAAGUCGUANCA